ensembl:lncRNA
UCACUAGUUCCGACUGCAAAUUGUGGUGAACCCUGCUCGCAGCGCUAACUGUUAGGUUCUAAUUAUCAGAGUAAGAACUCAACGGACACUAUGAAAGCUCAAACCAAGUUUAUUCUUCCCAAAGGAUCGAACAGCUGAACAGACAGACAACACAUUCUUCACACAAGCACUCACAUUUAUCCCUUUCUCCUAUGCUGAGUCUCCUCCUACACUGAGUCUCCUCCUACAUAUCUGAACAGCCAAUGCAUCUCUGUUGCUAGACAGAACCUUAGUGAUAUGUUCUUCCUCACUUCAUCUGACCUGUCCUCUGCCCCAAAGUGCUCACUACUCCCCAACUCACGGCUGUCAUGGUGACUGGUACCAGACUGUCUCUUCUCCCAGAGGAUCCCUGAUGGCUAACAACAACAACAUAUCCUGACAAUGUAAACGUUAUACAUUAACCUCUCUCUCUCAGUGACAUGAAUUAGUAUAUUUAAUAUUCUCAGAACCCAACCGUAUCAACCCGUAAGGCAUACGGUCAAAUGAUUUGCUGCUGGUAAAUGGGCAUAACACACUCAUCAUUACACUAUUGUCUUUCUAAAUUAAAAUCAACAUUUAUCAUUGUUAGGCCUAAUUUAAAUUCAACUGUGAAGUAAGGUGCACAAUUAUCACACAUUUGUCAUUAAUUCAGUGAGGAGAGAGAGACGCAUUAGCACCUGGCUGGGUACCAAUGUCCUACAGCACAUUGUCUUGGCGGAUUAAGUUAGCAAUAAGUGUGGGGGUGAAAAAAAACGGGUAAAAAGACUAAAUACUUUUCUGUUUGUGAUUUAAAAAUGAGCAGACAUUUAGGAAAUGUCAGGGAUGGAGCAGGAUUUAUUUUUUUGGGCUGCUUUUUAAUUUAUUUACCAAAUCAAAUGGCUGGCAGUUGGCCUAUGGCGGUUCUAGUGUUAAAGGGAUACUUUGGGAUUUUGGCAAUGGUAAACAUUUUAUGUCUCUGCAUCCAGUAUGAAGGAAGUUUAGAGGUCAUUUCACAAGCCAAUGCUAACUAGAGUUAGCGCAAUGACUGGGAGUCUAUGGUAUCUCCUAGCAUGCUAGCAACUUCCUUCAAACUACACGCAGACAUAUCAAAUCAAAUCAAAUCAAAUCGAUUUAUAUAGCCCUUCGUACAUCAGCUGAUAUCUAAAAGUGCUGUACAGAAACCCAGCCUAAAAUCCCAAACAGCAAGCAAUGCAGGUGUAGAAGCACGGUGGCUAGGAAAAACUCCCUAGAAAGGCCAAAACCUAGGACCUAGGAAGAAACCUAGAGAGGAACCAGGCUAUGUGGGGUGGCCAGUCCUCUUCUGGCUGUGCCGGGUGGAGAUUAUAACAGAACAUGGCCAAGAUGUUCAAAUGUUCAUAAAUGACCAGCAUGGUUGUAUAAUAAUAAGGCAGAACAGUUGAAACUGGAGCAGCAGCACGGUCAGAUGGACUGGGGACAGCAAGGAGUCAUCAUGUCAGGUAGUCCUGGGGCAUGGUCCUAGGGCUCAGGUCCUCCGAGAGAGAGAAAGAAAGAGAGGAGGAGAGAAUUAGAGAACGCACACUUAGAUUCACACAGGACACCGAAUAGGACAGGAGAAGUACUCCAGAUAUAACAAACUGACCCUAGCCCCCCGACACAUAAACUACUGCAGCAUAAAUACUGGAGGCUGAGACAGGAGGGGUCAGGAGACACUGUGGCCCCAUCCGAGGACACCCCCGGACAGGGCCAAACAGGAAGGAUAUAACCCCACCCACUUUGCCAAAGCACAGCCCCC